ensembl:snRNA U4 U4 spliceosomal RNA
GAUAUUGAGAUGAAUGGCAGUAUCAUAGCCAAUGAGGUUAAUCCGAGGCGUGAUUAUUGCCAGUUGAAAAUUCUUUUAAUCCAAAUUAAAACUUGAGCUUGCAAAAGAAUUUAUAUUAGCUUCUUGGUAUAGGAAA